CCCUAGCCCUGAUAAUAGCGGCAUCCUUUUUCUGGCUUUUUUAGACAGAAAAAGAUACAGCGGAUAGCAGGAAAAAGC
rnacentral:sRNA from 1 species